GGCUUUAUAUUCAUUUAAUGAUUUUGGAUUGCAAAUCUAAAGGUGUUUAUUUAAUAAUUUAUAAGCUAAGGCUU
rnacentral:tRNA from 1 species